rnacentral:rRNA from 1 species
GACGAACGCUGGCGGCGUGCUUAACACAUGCAAGUCGAACGGAAAGGCCCUGCUUUUGUGGGGUGCUCGAGUGGCGAACGGGUGAGUAACACGUGAGUAACCUGCCCUUGACUUUGGGAUAACUUCAGGAAACUGGGGCUAAUACCGGAUAGGAGCUCCUGCUGCAUGGUGGGGGUUGGAAAGUUUCGGCGGUUGGGGAUGGACUCGCGGCUUAUCAGCUUGUUGGUGGGGUAGUGGCUUACCAAGGCUUUGACGGGUAGCCGGCCUGAGAGGGUGACCGGCCACAUUGGGACUGAGAUACGGCCCAGACUCCAACGGGAGGCAGCGGUGGGGAAUAUUGCACAAUGGGCGGAAGCCUGAUGCAGCAACGCCGCGUGCGGGAUGACGUCCUUCGGGUUGUAAACCGCUUUCGCCUGUGACGAAGCGUGAGUGACGGUAAUGGGUAAAGAAGCACCGGCUAACUACGUG